UGGGAGAUCGUCUAAUGGUAGGACACCGGCCUUUGAAGCCGAGAAUCCAGGUUCGAGUCCUGGUCUCCCAA
rnacentral:tRNA from 1 species